rnacentral:rRNA from 1 species
CGCAAGCCUGAUGCAGCGACGCCGCGUGAGGGAUGACGGCCUUCGGGUUGUAAACCUCUUUCGCCAGGGACGAAGCGGAAGUGACGGUACCUGGAGAAGAAGCACCGGCUAACUACGUGCCAGCAGCCGCGGUAAUACGUAGGGUGCGAGCGUUGUCCGGAAUUAUUGGGCGUAAAGAGCUCGUAGGCGGUGUGUCACGUCUGCCGUGAAAACCUCAGGCUUAACUUGGGGCGUGCGGUGGAUACGGGCAUCACUUGAGUUCGGUAGGGGAGACUGGAAUUCCUGGUGUAGCGGUGGAAUGCGCAGAUAUCAGGAGGAACACCGGUGGCGAAGGCGGGUCUCUGGGCCGAUACUGACGCUGAGGAGCGAAAGCGUGGGGAGCGAACAGGAUUAGAUACCCUGGUAGUCCACGCUGUAAACGUUGGGCGCUAGGUGUGGGGUGCUGUUCACGUGUCCCGUGCCGUAGCUAACGCAUUAAGCGCCCCGCCUG